rnacentral:rRNA from 1 species
GACGUAGGGGGCCAGCGUUGCUCGGAAUUACUGGGUGUAAAGGGUUCGUAGGCGGUGUGGCAAGUCGGGAGUGAAAUCCCUGGGCUCAACCCAGAGUCUGCUUCCGAAACUGCUGUGCUUGAGUGUGGGAGAGGCGCGUGGAAUUGCAGGUGUAGCGGUGAAAUGCGUAGAUAUCUGCAGGAACACCCGUGGCGAAAGCGGCGCGCUGGACCACUACUGACGCUGAGGAACGAAAGCUAGGGGAGCAAACAGG